rnacentral:misc_RNA from 1 species
CGUAGCCCACAAGUGAUCAUUUACCGACAUACAACAAAAUGACGCGUCGCGUGCUGUCACAAGAGGCCCAAAAUAUCACUUUUGAGACGAGUGAAGAGGUGGACGUAACCCCAACAUUUGACUCACUUUCCCUCAGAGAAGACCUCAUUCGAGGAAUUUAUGCAUAUGGAUUUGAAAAACCAUCUGCAAUCCAGCAAAGAGCCAUCAAACCAGUUGUAAAAGGCAGGGAUGUCAUUGCACAGGCUCAAUCUGGUACAGGAAAGACUGCCACCUUUUCUAUUUCCAUUCUACAAUGUCUAGACACACAGCUCAGAGAAACGCAAGCGUUGGUGCUGUCUCCAACAAGAGAAUUGGCCACACAAAUUCAAAAGGUUAUCCUAGCAUUAGGUGACUAUAUGAGCGUCCAGUGUCAUUCCUGUAUUGGUGGGACUAAUGUUGGAGAGGAUAUUAGAAAACUUGACUUUGGUCAACACGUAGUCUCGGGGACACCCGGCAGAGUGUUUGACAUGAUCAGGAGAAGAAAUUUGAGGACGAGAGCCAUCAAAAUGCUGGUCUUAGACGAAGCAGAUGAAAUGCUGAACAAAGGCUUCAAGGAACAGAUCUAUGAUGUGUACAGGUACCUUCCUCCUGCAACCCAGGUAGUACUCUUCAGUGCCACAUUACCACACGAGAUCUUAGAAAUGACCAACAAAUUCAUGACAGAUCCUAUCAGAAUCCUUGUCAAACGUGAUGAAUUGACCUUGGAGGGUAUCAAGCAGUUCUUUGUUGCCGUGGAGAGGGAAGAAUGGAAGUUUGACACAUUAUGUGAUCUCUACGAUACACUCACCAUCACACAGGCUGUCAUCUUCUGCAACACGAAGAGGAAGGUUGACUGGUUGACCGAGAAGAUGCGGGAAGCGAAUUUCACGGUGUCGUCCAUGCAUGGCGACAUGCCUCAGAAAGAGAGAGAAGCCAUCAUGAAGGAAUUCAGAUCAGGGGCGAGUCGUGUCCUUAUCACUACCGACGUAUGGGCCAGAGGUUUGGAUGUUCAGCAAGUCUCCUUGGUUAUCAACUAUGAUCUGCCAAACAACCGUGAACUCUACAUCCAUAGGAUUGGUCGUUCAGGUCGUUACGGACGUAAAGGUGUUGCUAUCAACUUUGUGAAGAGUGAUGACAUCAGGAUUCUGCGUGACAUAGAGCAGUAUUACAGCACACAGAUUGAUGAAAUGCCCAUGAAUGUUGCUGAUCUCAUUUAGACUGGAAAAGAGCUACAAAGAUGAUUUACCUUCACCUUCAUGAUUCAAUGUGUCAUCAGUAGUCCAUGCACCCAUCCCAUGAAUCUCUAUUAUAUUCACUGUGCUAUCGGUGGCAACUACCAUGGUAACGGGGCUCAGCAGCCAAUCAGAAUCAAGGUUGCCAUGGUAGUCACCAUGAUAGCAAAGUUAAAUAUAAGAGUAAGUUUUCAUGCAACAGGACCCAGGCUAGUUCCACACAGGUGGUGCCCACUGCAAAGUUGAUCAUUGAAGCAAAAGAAUUGUCCUCUUUGAUUGUCUCAUAAUUCAAUUACAUUCAAUUCAUUCUGUUCUUGUCUCCUCCGAAAAUAUUUCUGUCAUUAUUAUUGGCACAGUCCUAUCAGUGAAACCGGCUCCAAACAGACGGUCUGAUGAUAGGUCAUUGGAAGUAAUGUUAUCGCUUUGGUCGGGCUGGGGUCGGUUUUUGCCAGUCUAUCUGUGGCGUAACGUUUGCAUUAUUCUGUCAUAACUCUCUGAGUUCUUUGUUGACCUAUAACCUAUAUCAGUGGUCUUGCUGUAUGUGACAUUCUGUCACAUUUAGAUCAUAUUCAAUAAUUUAGUAUUCCACACAUAAAAAUGAGUAUUUCAUCUGCUCAAGGCCAGCAACAUUGGGAAUAAUGUUGCUCGGCAGACAGCAUUUCUUGUGUUUGAAAGUUAGGAAAAUAAAGGAAGAGAUACAAAGUUAGAGGUCUAUUCAAUUUCUAUUUCAAUCUGUCAUUGGUAGAUUUGCAUGUGAUGGAGAAUAGCACUAUUUAAUGUUCAGUCCAUUUAAGUCACAGAACUAACAUUUUGCUCUGUAUACCAUGUAGGUCAAUUAAUAGAUGAAAACUGUACAGUGUUGUAUAUAUAUUUUUACUAUUUUAUCUGUGGUUGAAGAUGUAAUAAGUUCUCUUGUUUCAAGAAGUUCGUCAUUGAAAGGUAACAUAUUUCCCAGGUAAAUCUAAACUAAACAUUUCUAAAAAAUUAUCUUUGUCAACUUUUUUUUAUUUUGAGUGACCCUACAUACUUUUCUGAUUCAGAAAUUUUCAGAAACAUUUUCAGAAACAAGAUAGUCAGUGAAAAAUAGUUAUAUAUGCUAUUUGUAUAUUUUAAAGCAUAGAAAUUAUGAUUUGUUUAUCUUUAGCAAUGAAUGGGUGUUUUGCUGACAGUAUACAAUCUCAUUAGAAGGUUAACUUAAUAUACCACUUCUAAUUUUACAUAAAGGAAAGCCACAUCUAAAACAAUCCUAGGGAGAAGUUUCUGUGCUAUUUUCAAAUUGCAUAGCGGGAGGGAGGGGGUAAAAGUUACCCCCUUUUUUCUGACUCGGUGUCUAAAAUCUUACAAUGGAGAUUACAUACUCAAAUGUCUUAUUGUUCCUGAUCUGUUUGAAUCUAACCCUUUUAUUAGACCCAGAAAAAGAGAUAUCUGUAAUACACAUCUUAGCAUUGUGUCAAUCAGAAAGUGUAGGGUGGGAUGUAUUCAGUUUACAUAGAUGUUUAAAAAAAUAUAGUUAAAAUAGUUGUGUAACAAUCAUUAUAUUGCUGCUGUUGCAAUGAAAGGUUUCAUGAGAUUAUGGAUUUGAUCAAUAUUUUGAAUACCCCCUGUCAGUAGAUUUUUUUUCUUUUGUACAAUAAAAUGAUUUAAAAAGUA